rnacentral:lncRNA from 1 species
GUUCACCACUUUGUGUGUCCAAGGACCACCUACUUUUUACAUGUGACAAGAACUACCCACCUCCACUCUUCAGGAUAGAACAUGCUGAAGAAAAGAGUUGCAAUGAGAAAAUAUAUGGGAACAAAAUACCUAUGCAAUGCAGAAGUCUGCAUAACUGAACCACUCAGAGGAAAAAGAUUGCCAUUUCAGGACACCUCCUACAUCUGAGGAAAUAUGCAUUGAUCUUGCAGUACUUUUCUCCUCCAAAUAAAAGUCAGUAUGAUAACAACUACACUAUCAGAAGUCUAAGCCAAAGGACACUUCAGUUAUCCAAUCUUGCAACAAAUACAUUUAAGCACUUAAUAUGGGCUACUGUUGGUACUAGGGGCAUUGAGAACUUCAGAUUUGAUUAACACCCAAGAGCUGCUACCAUAAAAUAAACUAGGCAGCUACUAGGCAAUAAGAUGAGGCACAUGUGUAAAACUUCUGCUUUUAGCUUGGUGAAGAGUGGUUACACAGCCAUUAUUACAAAAAUUACAUUUUUCCACAAAUAAAGACAUCACUUUUCUAGAGAGUA